rnacentral:lncRNA from 1 species
CCUCCAUCUAAUGUGUCUUGUGGGAGCUUCAAGCACAGCAGUGAAGAAAGAAAUAGGGAAUCAUCCCAGAGCUCCCUCCAAAGACUCAUCCUAGGCCUGUCCUCUCCUCCCUGGGACAGGAAGAGGAGUCAGAGUGGAUGAGAACCUGGAGAGAGGCAGAGUUCCAGCCCCUUGUGAGGGCCUGCCUGGACCAAGGCCCUUCUAGGACCCCUGGGCCAAUCCGUGCCCCCUCAGCUCCUCUUGCCCCAGAUCCAGGGAAGGGAAACUAACAUUUACUGAGUGACCGGCAUUUCUCGUGCGUUAUGUCAGGUAAUCCUCACAGCAGCCCUUCAAGGUGGGUCCUGCCCUCCUGGGCCUUCACCUGGCAGGAGAACUCCAUGCUUCGACAGGCGAUGGCAGGACCUGCAAUGAGUGCUGUGAAGAAGGAAUGCCUCAACCCAGCGGGGGUGAGGAAGCAGGAGGGGUGCCGAGUCCUAGUGAUGCCCUGCAUUGACAUCCCCAGAGGACCCAAAGCCAUGUAGACAGCCAUCACCACUACCAAGAAGCUGCCACCUCCCCCACACUGUGACCUCCAAAGAAACUGCCAGAGCCUGGAUGCUGCGGGACCACAUUCCACCUUCUUCCCACCCCAGCCCCAGCCCUGGGCAGCACCUGCCCCAAGGCUGGAGGGGAUGGAGGUGAUCUGGUGACAGGGGAGGAGAAUGCCAGAGAUUGAGACUAAAGAGAGAAACCACAUCAGCUGCAAAGCAAAGAGGAAUGAAACCUGGGGCUGCAAAGUGAAACCAAACAGCUCUGGGGAAAAAGUAUAGCUUCAAACAGGUGACAAUUGUGUUUUUCUAUUGUUGCAAGAUGUGGCUUCAGACUUGACUCAGAAUGACUCCAGGGAAAUGAGAUGAGGAAGUCCUGGGCGGUCUUCAGAG